AGCGAACGCUGGCGGCGUACCUAACACAUGCAAGUCGAACGGGGAUCACAGGGUUAGCAAUAACUCUGUGGUUCUAGUGGCGCACGGGUGAGUAACACGUGGGUAACCUGCCCUUGAGAC
rnacentral:rRNA from 1 species